rnacentral:rRNA from 1 species
CUACAGAGGGUGCGAGCGUUAAUCGGAAUUACUGGGCGUAAAGCGCGCGUAGGCGGUCUAUUAAGUCAGAUGUGAAAUCCCAGGGCUCAACCUUGGAACUGCAUCUGAUACUGGUAGACUAGAGUUUUGGAGAGGGAAGUAGAAUUUCAGGUGUAGCGGUGAAAUGCAUAGAGAUCUGAAGGAAUACCAGUGGCGAAGGCGACUUCCUGGCCAAAAACUGACGCUGAGGUGCGAAAGCGUGGGUAGCAAACGGGAUUAGAUACCCUAGUAGUCC